UUAUGAGAAGAGUAGGAGUGGCAGCACCGACGUGAUAUGUAGAGAGAUGCUCCGUCGAUUCCUUCUCAUUCUCCAGCUCGUGCACGUCGAGCAAGCAAGGCAUGAGAGCUGUUGAAACGUUCAUUGUCGUUAUCCUUUUGGAUAGCAAAGUCACUGCUAGUACAAAUAGAGAUGCAAGCAACGAAGUGUGCGCUGGAGAGAAAGGCGACAAGGUGAGUGGAAAUACCAUUUGUUCUAUUUGCAUAGCGUGAGACGAGAAUAUGGAUAAUUUGCAAGUGGGAGACUGGCUAUCCGGGAUCUUCUGGAUUGAGAGGAUACAAAGGAGAGAAAGUUGAAACUGGUUCUUCUGAUAACAAUGGAGUUAAAGGUGAUUCUGGCGUGAGAGGUCCUCCUGGAGUGCGUGGUUUCGUUGUAAGAUGUCGCAAUUUAAUCACAACGAUUUGAUUCCAACGAAUAUUUUAUUGCUACGGCCCACCUGGGGUAAUGGGUCCGACGGGUAAUGGUAAGACUGGAGCUCAAGGUCCAUAAGGAAACCCAGGAAGGCAGGGUCCUGUUGGUCCACCAGGUUUACCAGGAGUAAAAGGAAUGAAAGGGCAUAAGGUAAUGUUUUGGUAGUAUG